AUGGUUUUAUUGACAAAAAUUAGUUAAUUAGUUAAAUAUUAGUUAUUGUAUCUGAAUUUAAUUUGUUUAUAUUUAAUUAUAACUUUUAAAUAUUCUAUUUUAAAUUGGAAAGUUACCAUGAGAAAGAGGUUUUUACUGCAUACAAAGGGGAUUCAGUCUAUUUUUAAUAGGAAGUUACUGUUUCAUCCCACGAUCUGAAACCAUGCUCUCUCUCAGUCGAAAUCGCUGAUAGGAGUUUUCUCUCAUAAUCUAAUAAAAUGGAAGUUUCUUAUCUCUUUCUCCACCUUCUUUGUAUAGUUGUGUUUGCAGUGGUUGCGCCAACUGCCAGACCUACACCAAGGCACCCGUUGCUGAUUGUGAUUCAAUUACUUGAUUUUGAAGGAAAAUAACUUUGAAAUUAGGUGAUGAAUUUUUGGGGAUAAUUGCAUAUACUAUUCUAUCUUUGGAAUAUGCUUCCGGGAAGAGAACAAUUUACUGAAAAAUUAGAAUGAUGACUUUAUUGUUAAGCUGAGGAAAACUGAAUCAAUGCUUCCAAGAGUCAGGAAAGUGCUGGCUCACUUUCCUCAAACUAAUGGAAGAAGCCCCAACAUUAAUUUUGGAUGAGAUCUUUUGGUAAUGUAUUGCACAUGUGUUGAUUCCUCUGGAGGUAUCCUAAUGCAUUCAACUGUGCAAGUUAAUGCUGAAUUUGAAUUGUUGAUGUAGGGCAUGAUGGAUGUCAAAACAAAUAGUCCUAAUUGUUUGUGUAGUAGUUGCCACCGUGAUUCUACUAUCCACUGGGGUCUUUCCUUUGCUGCAGAGUAGAACGAGUAAAAGGAUAGCCAGUUAUGAUCUUAUAUAUACCUUUAGUACAAUUCAAGUCCUAUGAUGAGGCAUAUGAUCAUGUUGCUAUUAAAUUUAGAAGACUGGAUGCGGAUAUAGAUUUCAAUGUAUCACAGCGAUAUGCCAAUACAUUUUCUCAAUGGAAAGAAUACUUCAAUAGUUAUUCAUGGAAUGUUGGAAUUUAGCACUUUUUGUCCUGCUAGAUUAUGUAAAUUACAACAGCUUAAACUAUGUUUAAAGUCGGUCUUGGUUACACUGUGUGUGUAUGUGUCAAUAUACUGCAGUAUAAAGAUCAUUCUUUGUAGUUGUAUCAAGCAAUAGACACAGUAACUUUUGCUAAAUCUUGAAAAUAGUAUAACAAUAUUUGCAUUUCUCUAAGGGAUAUAUAUAUUGAAUUUUAGUGCGAUAUUAUAUAGAGUAUGAAUUUCUAUGAAGGCUCUGCUAAAUCUCAAAAGAUGGAGUCUUUUUGUUUAUUUUAAUAGAUCUUGUGCUACAAUGUUGUUCAUAACA